rnacentral:rRNA from 1 species
CCCUUAGAUGUCCGGGGCCGCACGCGCGCUACACUGAAGGAAUCAGCGUGGCUUUCUCCCUGACCCGAAAGGGUUGGGAAACCCGUUGAAUCUCCUUCGUGAUAGGGAUUGGGGCUUGAAAUUGUUUCCCUUGAACGAGGAAUUCCCAGUAAGCGCAAGUCAUCAGCUUGCGUUGAUUACGUCCCUGCCCUUUGUACACACCGCCCGUCGCUACUACCGAUUGAAUGGUUUAGUGAGAUCCUUGGAUCGGCCCUGUCGCGGCUGGCAACGGCCGCGUCGGCGCGUCGAGAAGACGAUCAAACUUGAUCAUUUAGAGGAAGUAAAAGUCGUAACA